rnacentral:lncRNA from 1 species
CAAUUAUUGAUGUUCUGAACAAAGGAUUUGUUUCCUAACCACUUUGCCCCACCCAAAAGCCCAUGAGUUCUGCAAACAUUUUCUCUACAAGACUGUGCAAGUCAAGUUCCAGAUCGCUACCACCAGGAGGUCUAUCUGCAUCUCUAAGGUUGUGUGGAAAGUAGUCUGCAGAGGGUAACACGAGACAUCACAGAGAGUGUUUCUAUGUUAGUGGGCUUGGGUCCCAUUGGUCUGAUCCAUCUGCCUCCCUCUCUGCCUCUCUGCCUUCCCCUGCAGGGCCAGGUGAGCGCUGCUGGCUUAUUACGAUUCGUAUGUGCGUCUCUCUGCAGAUGUGGCCUCUCUGUCAAAGGCUUCUUUCAGUAUAUCCAGCGUACGGCAGAACUCAAGUCCAUCCCCGAGAGACAAUCCCAGCAGAGCACACUGGCUGUCUGCUCCAUGUGCUUAUCACACAGCUGUUGCCAGAGAUUUCCUUGCACCCAAAUUCCUUCAAAGAAGUCCUUGUACUCAUUGUCUGUUCUUCCUCGUUCCCGCUCACGGCUAGUCAUUGUCUGAUCUCUGUCUUUCCCUUCUUCCCCUUAUAUGAGUCAGCUUUCUGUUACUGUACCAAAUACCUCAGAUCUAUCAACUUUAAAGGAAGUGUGGUGGUUUGAAAGAAAAUGACCCUCAAAGGGACUAGCACUAUUAGAAGGUGUGGCUUUAUUGUCAUAGGUGUGGCCUCGAUGGAGGAAGAGUGUCACUGUGGGGGUGGGCUUUGAGGUCUUCUUUGCUCAAGCUAUACUCAAUGUGGUAGUCAGUUCACUUCCUGCUGCCUGUGGAUAAAGAUGUAGAGCUCUCAGCUCCUUCUCGAGCACCACGUCUGCCUGCCUGCCGCCAUGUCCCACCAUGAUAAUAGACUGAACCUCUGAAACUGUAAGCCACCCCAAUUAAAUGUUUUCCUUUAUAAGAGUUGCAGUGGUCAUGGUGUCUCUUCACAGCAAUAGAAACGUAACUAAGACAGGAAUAAAGGCUGGAUUUGACUCA